CUCAUCGGAGAGGAGUCAAACUCCUCUCCUUUGGUUCUAUUUAAAGGGGAGACCCUUCUCCCUUCUUCCUACCAAAGAAUCCCGGGGCAAAACGGCGGCAAUCAUCGGAAAUUUUCUCACGGAGACCCGUCCUUGUGCCAUCCAAUUUCUCGCCGGAAAAACCUCGCCGGCGUCGGAGGUAAGCUUCCUCCCCUUCCUCUCUCCUCCCCCUUCCUUCCCGUGCCGAUGUGCACGCUCGCCGGCGACCGAAGUCGCCGAAUUUUGUUGCGGAAAAAUCUUCUUUUUUUGCCAUUUUU
rnacentral:lncRNA from 1 species